CUGCUUUUUAUUGCUUUCAAUUUCAGUUUUAUUACAGUUCAUGGGAGGGCACGUGUGUGUCUAUUCCAAAUAUCCUCUUUUAUUGAGAACUAAGGAAAUAUUAACUACAUCGCUCUUCUGUUUCAUGAGCAAAUCUAUUCCAUGAGGUGGGGGAUGGAUUUUUCUCUAGGUAUUUAUAGCUUUGCGGGUGAACUUUUCCAGAAUUCCAUUUGUCGACUCCUUUCUCACCCUCGGGAUUGGUCGGCUCUUCUCUGGCGGCUGCGACGGGAGGCCCUUUCCACAGCCUGGGAGGCCAGAAGAGCAGUCUGCGGCUGCGCGGAGGACGGGUGCGUGGAGCGGAAGGCGGGAGUGCACGGAGCAGAAAGCCGGGCCGCUGGAGGCUUUGCACCCAGCCCCUGGUCCGCAGGACUCCUCGGAGAACAGCAAAGCAGGGUGGUGCUGUGAAGCCCGGCCGCGGGGUUCAGAGAGCCAAGUACAGCUCUGUCUCCUGAGAUGCUCCCGUCUGUUUCCUGUGGCCUCUGGGCAGGCCCUGCCCUGCCAGCCACUGCUCUGAGCUGUUGUCCAGUUUCACUUACGUGAGCAGGAAAAACCAGCAGCAGCAACCAGAAGGGUACAGAAGCCUCUCAAUUGACCUGCAAAUGUAGCUGGAAGGGGAGCAAUAGGAAUGUCUUAGAGGAUAACCCCAGACAGCAGGAGGGCACAAAGGAUUUGAAGAACAAAUAGGCGCUGAAAAGAAUCUUAUGAAACAAGCAGCAUCCGCGGAUGAAAAGAGAAAGGAAGACACAGUCGUUACCAGAGGACUCCUCGAGGCUGGCGGAUUGCUCUGGCUCCAUGCCAGGGGCACACGAUGCUCUGGCUGGGAUCAUCAGAGCUCUGCUGUUCAACACUCGUCACAUGUGUGCUGAAAAUGUGUUCUUUCUCUGGGUUUGAGGUGACAGACAGCCAUACCACAUGCCAUCCCUUUUUCCAUGUCGGCCUCAGCCAGGCAAUCAACCAAAUCAUCACCCAGUCUGUCUCAACCAUGUGGUUUUCCUAGCCAGCUGAACAAAAUAUUUUCAGAAUGUGGAAUGUAAACAAGGCUCCUACUGUUAGCAAUUCUGUGUCAUUUACUUGUGGUUUCUUUUAUUUUACUUUAAGUCACAUUUAAAUUCAAAAGAUUGCCAGCCUGCAUGGUGCAUGUAAACAAAUCAGAAAUAUAGAUUAGAAACUGCAACUGAUUAGUUAGUUCAUUGUGAAAGUAUCUGCAUAAAUGGAAGAAGAGGGAAAAAUCUAUUAUGCUCCUGGGAUAUUGCUUCUCCACAGGAAAUUCAAUUGUGAAGAGGGCUUUAAAACCAAUGACUUUAGUCAUUUGUGUUUUCUACACACUGGUUACAAUAAAUGCUAAUAGAAUACCUAGGCAGAACCUCUGCUGGGCUCCGAUGAGACAGUGCUCAAGGAAAAGCCAGGAGUGAUUCUGAGAGUGAAAAGUCCUAUGAGUACAUAUUAGCAGAUGGUGAUCACAGAAUGUGUAUUGCUCAUGCUAUUCAAGAUGUUUUCUAAGAAAACACAGUUUUUCACAUCCAUUAUUUCCCACGGCAUCAAAGUAUAUGUCUCCAGUGCACAAUGCUAAGUGAUAAAGGUUGUAUGAUCACCCUGGUACUCACUGAAAAUCCAAAUCAAGAAAUUGCCUUUGUUUAUAAAUUUCCUCAGAAACACAUUCUAUCUUCCCAAUCAAUAGGGAGACAAAUGAGCCAUAAGAAUUUCAUCAUUUAUCCACGGGCCAACACAGAUAAUGUUUCCCUAGCACAAUGCCACAAACUGUACAUUUUCUAAAAUAUUGUUAAUACUUUCGUUACACUGCCCAUCAUUUUUAUACCGUUUGGAAGCUUGUGUGCUAACAUUAAAAUUUACUAAAUUAUACAUUUCUUUGUAUUUUUUUCAUGGUGUCUUCUGAAUUGGGGUCAAGUGGCAAUCCGAGGGCCCCAAAUGAAUCAACACAGCAGAUGUACACUCAGUGAGACUGAUGCUUUCAUCUUUGGAACAAGACUGUCCAAUAAGGAAGGAGGACAUUAGCCACCUCUCAUUCUGUAUAACUGGCCGUGGAUCCUACUCGAAGGAGGCCAAAAAUAGAAGCCAUUUGGCUUCCUCUUCUGAGGCAGAUCUGGAUAAGCCUCGCCUGAGAAAAUCCUCCUUGUACAUUAACCAAGGGAGCUGUCACAAAGGAAUUUGGGAAUCAUUGCAGGCGUGUGUACACAGAGCGUCCAAACGGGAAGCAAAGCUGGGCCUGGUUUUCUUCAGCCUCAGACCACACUUCUGUCUCUGCUCCUUACUAAUAAGGGGAAGAAAUCGCUUCAGACCCUACUGCUGCCACCUCCUAGGAGCUCCAGCAACUUGAGUCACCACAAGGAAGAUGGUCAGGUGUACGGUUUAAUCCCAUCUUGCAGAGUUUCUGCCCUUGUGGAGUAAAAAUACUCUCUGUCAAAAGGGCAUGUUAAGUAACCCUAACUAACCUUGGGCUGGGGAUGUAGCUCAGUGACAGAGCAUUUGCUAGCACGUGCAAGGCCUUUGAAGACA
rnacentral:lncRNA from 1 species